AACCCCUGCGUUAAUCCUUUUCCGAUCUUUUCCUUCACAGUGCCCGUCCCGCCAUGAGAGCCAAGUGGAGAAAGAAGCGAAUGCGUAGGCUGAAGCGCAAGCGGAGGAAGAUGAGGCAGAGGUCCAAGUGAUCCACACCGGAGCAAGACGGGGAGCCGGAGCGGGACAACUGCCGAGCCACCUGGAACCUCCAGCCUUCAUCACAGCAUCGCCCCUCGGUGUCCCCACUCCGGACUGUCCUCGCCCCCGCCUUCCCACGGGGCCAUUGUAGCGCGGGAACAAUAAAUCGUUGGCCAAAUCCCA